GAGUUUGAUCCUGGCUCAGAGCGAACGCUGGCGGCAGGCCUAACACAUGCAAGUCGAGCGCCGUAGCAAUACGGAGCGGCAGACGGGAGAGUAACACGUGGGAACGUGCCCUUCAGUUCGGAACAACCCAGGGAAACUUGGGCUAAUACCGGAUACGUCCGUAAGGAGAAAGAUUUAUCGCUGAAGGAUCGGCCCGCGUCUGAUUAGCUAGUUGGUGGGGUAAUGGCCCACCAAGGCGACGAUCAGUAGCUGGUCUGAGAGGAUGAUCAGCCUCACUGGGACUGAGACACGGCCCAGACUCCUACGGGAGGCAGCAGUGGGGAAUAUUGGACAAUGGGCGCAAGCCUGAUCCAGCCAUGCCGCGUGGGUGAUGAAGGCCCUAGGGUUGUAAAGCCCUUUCGGCGGGGAAGAUAAUGACGGUACCCGCAGAAGAAGCCCCGGCUAACUUCGUGCCAGCAGCCGCGGUAAUACGAAGGGGGCUAGCGUUGCUCGGAAUCACUGGGCGUAAAGCGCACGUAGGCGGCUUUUUAAGUCAGGGGUGAAAUCCUGGAGCUCAACUCCAGAACUGCCUUUGAUACUGAGAGGCUUGAGUCCGGGAGAGGUGAGUGGAACUGCGAGUGUAGAGGUGAAAUUCGUAGAUAUUCGCAAGAACACCAGUGGCGAAGGCGGCUCACUGGCCCGGUACUGACGCUGAGGUGCGAAAGCGUGGGGAGCAAACA
rnacentral:rRNA from 1 species